UACGGAGGGUGCAAGCGUUAAUCGGAAUUACUGGGCGUAAAGCGUGCGCAGGCGGUUUGUUAAGUCUGUUGUGAAAUCCCCGGGCUCAACCUGGGAAUUGCAGUGGAUACUGGCAAGCUGGAGUAUGGUAGAGGAAGGUGGAAUUCCCGGUGUAGCAGUGAAAUGCGUAGAGAUCGGGAGGAACAUCAGUGGCGAAGGCGGCCAUCUGGGACAACACUGACGCUGAAGCACGAAAGCGUGGGGAGCAAACAGG
rnacentral:rRNA from 1 species